AUGCACCAUUCCCCAUUUUCCCUGAACCAUUCCCCCUUUUUCCUGGACCCCUUUUCCCUGCACCAUUCCCCCUUUCCCUACAUCAUUUCCAUUUCCCUGCACCAUUCCCCCUUUCCCUUCACCAUUCCCCAUUUUCCUGCACCAUUCCCUUUUCCCUGCACCAUUCCCCUUUUCCCUGCACCAUUCCCCUUUUCCCUGCACCAUUCCCCUUUUCCCUGCACCAUUCCCCUUUCCCUGCACCAUUCCCUUUUUCCUGCACCAUUCCCCUUUUUCCCUGCACCAUUCCCCCUUUUCCCUGCACCAUUCCCUUUUCCCUGCACCAUUCCCCCUUUCCCUGCACCAUUCCCCCUUUCCCUGCACCAUUCCCCUUUUCCCUGCACCAUUCCCCUUUCCCUGCACCAUUCCCUUUUUCCUGCACCAUUGCCUUUUUCCCUGCACCAUUCCCCCUUUUCCCUGCACCAUUCCCUUUUCCCUGCACCAUUCCCCCUCUUUCCUGGACCCCUUUUCCCUGCACUAUUCCCCCUUUCCCUGCACUAUUCCCCCUUUCCCUGCACUAUUCCCCCUUUCCCUGCACCAUUCCCUUUUCCCUGUACCAUUCCCCCUUUCUCUGCACCGUUCCCUUUUUCCUGUACCAUUUCCCAUUUUCUUGCACCAUUCCCCCUUUCCCUACACCAUUCCCCCUUUCCCUACAUCAUUUCCUUUUCCCUGCACCAUUCCCUUUUCCCUGUACCAUUCCCCUUUUUCCUGCACCAUUUCCCCUUUCCCUGCACCAUUCCCCCUUUUUCCUGCACCAUUCCCUUUUCCCUGCACCAUUCCCCCUUUCCCUGCACCAUUCACCCUUUCCCUUCACCAUUCCCUUUUCCCUGCACCAUUCCCCCUUUUCCCUGCACCAUUCCCCCUUUUUCCUGCACCAUUCCCCUUUCCCUGCACCAUUCCCCCUUUCCCUGCACCAUUCCCUUUUCCCUGCACCAUUCCCCCUUUUCCCUGCACCAUUCCCCCUUUUCCCUGCACCAUUCCCCUUUCCCUUCACCAUUCCCUCUCCCCUGCACCAUUCCCUUUUCCCUGCACCAUUCCCCUUUCCCUUCACCAUUCCCUCUUCCCUGCACCAUUCCCUUUUCCCUGCACCAUUUCCCCUUUCCCUGCACUAUUCCCUUUCCCCUGCACCAUUCCCUUUCCCCUGCACCAUUCCCUUUUUCCUGCACCGUUCCCCAUUCCCAAAGCAGCCCACGAUCCUCUCUGAGCUCCAGCUUCUCUGUACCUCAGUUUCCCCCACAGAGGGAAAAUUCCUUUAAAUUUUUUUUUUUACCUCAGCAAAUAAUUUUCCUUAUUUAA
rnacentral:lncRNA from 1 species